GACGUUAGCGACAGAAGAAAGCACCGGCUAACUACCGUGCCAGCAGCCGCGGUAAGUACGGAGGGUGCGAGCGUUAAUCGGAAUUACUGGGCGUAAAGACGCAUGCAGGUGGUUUGUUUAAGUCAGAUGUGAAAGACCCGGGGCCGUCAACCUACCGGAAUUGCAUUUGUAAACUAGGCAGACUAGAGUACUGUAGAGGGGGGUAGGAAUUUCUAGGUGUAGCGGUGAAAUAGCGUAGAGAUCUGAAGGAAUACCGGUGGCGAAGGCGGCCCCCCUCGGACAGAUACUGACACUCAGAUGCGAAAGCGUGGGGAGCAAACAGGAUUAGAUACCCCUGGUAG
rnacentral:rRNA from 1 species